GCAAGCUACAAAGGGCAUGUGACGGAUGCCUAGGCGCUAGGAGGCGAUGAAGGACGCGGGUGGCUGCGAAAAGCCUCGGGGAGCCGCCAACCAGGCUUCGAUCCGGGGAUGUCCGAAUGGGAAAACCCAGCCGGGUGCUGAAUCCGGUUAUCCCUGCCUGAAUACAUAGGGCAGCGGAGGCAAACCCAGGGAAGUGAAACAUCUCAGUACCUGGAGGAAGAUAAAGAAAACUCGAUUCCGGGAGUAGUGGCGAGCGAAACCGGAAGAGCCCAAACCGGGGUCACGAGAGUGGCUUCGGGGUAGCGGGGCCGCAUUUAGGACCACAGUGAGAUAGCCAAACAGGCUGGAAAGCCUGGCCAGAGAGCGUGAGAGCCGCGUCGGCGAAAUCUGGCUGUGGCCGAGCGGGCACCCCAAGUAACGCGGGACACGUGGAACCCUGCGUGAAUCAGCGAGGACCAUCUCGUAAGGCUAAAUACUACCUAGCGACCGAUAGUGAACAAGUACCGCGAGGGAAAGGUGAAAAGAACCCCUGUGAGGGGAGCUCAAAGACCCUGAAAUCGCAUGCCUACAAGCAGUUCGAGGGCUACGCCCGUGAUCGCGUCUGGCAACAGGCGAGGGUGCGGGAAUGCCUGAGAGCGUACCUUUUGCAUCAUGAAUCGGCGACUUAAUGUACGUGGCGAGGUUAAGCCGAUAGGUGGAGCCGCAGCGAAAGCGAGUCCGAAACGGGCGAGCAGAGUCGCGUGCAUUAUAACCCGAAGCGAGAUGAUCUAUGCAUGGCCAGGAUGAAGCGCGGGUAAAACCGCGUGAAGGUCCGAACUCAUGGAGGUUGAAAACUCUUGGGAUGAGCUGUGCAUAGGGGUGAAAGGCCAAUCAAAUCUCGUGAUAGCUGGUUCUCCUCGAAAGAUAUUUAGGUAUCGCCUCGGAUGGUCGCUGGCGGAGGUAGAGCACUGGAACGGCUAGGGGUCCUACCAGAUUACCAAACCGUACCAAACUCCGAAUGCCGCCAAGCGUAUAGUCCGGGAGGCAGUCGCAGGGUGAUAACGCCCCGCGGCAAAAGGGGAAUAACCCAGACCGCCGGCUAAGGUCCCCAAAUCCAGGCUAAGUGAACACUAGAAAGGAUGUGGCAGGACCCAGACAACCAGGAGGUUGGCUUAGAAGCAGCCAUCCUUUAAAGAAAGCGUAAUAGCUCACUGGUCAAGUCAGGCUGCGCCGAAAAUGUAACGGGGCUCAAGCCUGGUACCGAAGCCGCGGGUGCACCCUCUUUCUAAGAGGGUGUGCGGUAGAGGAGCGUCCCAGCGGGGAAGAAGCCAGAUCGCAAGGGCUGGUGGACCUGCUGGAAGUGCUGAUGCCGAUAUGAGUAGCGAUAAGGCCCGUGAGAUUCGGGCCCGCCGAAAGCCCAAGGUUUCCUGGGGAAGGUCAAUCCGCCCAGGGUUAGCCGGAGCCUAAGUCGAGGCCGAAAGGCGUAGGCGAUGGUGAGCAGGUUAAUAUUCCUGCGCUGUCAGCUUUCCAAUGAAGCGAGGUGUGACGGAGAAGGGUAGCCGGACGAGGGACGGAGAUGCUCGGCCGGGCGCCGUAGGGGUGCUCCAUACGACCAAAAGGUGGAGCAGCCAUCCCCGAGGGCGAUCGAUAGCGCGCAAGCGCGACUCAGGUGAUCCCAGGCUUCCAAGAAAAGCACCGCGUGGAGGGGGCUGUCAUCCGUACCGCAAACCGACUCAGGUGGGCGAGGAGAAAAUCCUAAGGCGCUUGAGAGAACUCUCUCCAAGGAACUCGGCAAGUUGCCACCGUAACUUCGGAAGAAGGUGGGCCUGUUGGCGUGUAAGGAUUCACUCCCCAAGCGCCGGCGGGUCGCAGAGAAAUGGGGGUUGCGACUGUUUACCAAAAACACAGGACUCUGCAAACACGUCAAGUGGAAGUAUAGGGUCUGACGCCUGCCCGGUGCCGGAAGGUUAAGGGGAUCCGUCAUCCGCGAGGAGAAGCGGUGAUCCGAAGCCCCGGUAAACGGCGGCCGUAACUAUAACGGUCCUAAGGUAGCGAAAUUCCUUGUCGGGUAAGUUCCGACCUGCACGAAUGGCGUAACGACAUCCCCACUGUCUCGGAGAGGGACUCAGCGAAAUUGAAAUAGCUGUGCCGAUGCAGUUUACCCGCAGCAAGACGGAAAGACCCCGUGAACCUUUACUACAACUUGACAGUGAUACUAGGGGUUACUUGUGUAGAAUAGGUGGGACGCGACGAAGCCGGGCCGCCAGGCUCGGUGGAGCGGCAAUGUGAAAUACCACCCUGGUGAUUCUUGGUAUCUAACCGAGCGCCCUGAUCGGGUGCCGGGACACUGUCUGGUGGGUAGUUUGACUGGGGCGGUCGCCUCCUAAAAAGUAACGGAGGCGCGCGAUGGUUCCCUCAGCCUGAUUGGAAACCAGGCGUCGAGUGCAAUGGCAUAAGGGAGCCUAACUGCGAGACCGACGGGUCGAGCAGGUGCGAAAGCAGGUCAUAGUGAUCCGGUGGUUCUGAAUGGAAGGGCCAUCGCUCAACGGAUAAAAGGUACUCCGGGGAUAACAGGCUUAUCUCCCCCAAGAGUUCACAUCGACGGGGAGGUUUGG
rnacentral:rRNA from 1 species